UAUCUAUGAUGAUCCUAUCCUGAACCUGAAUUUUCUGGUGAAAAAAGUUAGUAUGAGUCUGGCUUCUGAGAC